rnacentral:lncRNA from 1 species
CUCAUGGCUACAUUCACACCUCCAGUGCUUAGUGAGCUCCUAUUUACUCUUCAAAACCCUAUGCUGUUGUCACCCUGCUUUCCCUCAGGAAGAAUGAAGUCCUCUUCUCUCUACCUGCACUGUCAUCACACAGGCUUCACUUCUGUUGUAGAAUCUGGAAGACUUCAUGAAAGGGCAGUGAGUCUGAAAUCAAGUUUGGUGAAUGAAUGAAUGAAUGAGGGGAAGAAGUGAGAUGAGCAGAGAUAUGGGAUGACAUCCCAGUGGGAGAGGUCCUGUAGGGAAAAGUCAGUGGAGGAAAACAGCUCGUCGAUCAGGAAGUAACCAGAGCAGCCAGGCGAGGGGAGGGGAGCAUCCAAUCCCCUUUUUAUCAUUCACCUCACAGAUACUUGAGUAUUUGACUUAGUGUCUGUAUACUAGACUGUGAGUCUUAUAAGCCCAUCUGACAAUGUCUGUAGAGCUUUACCUGAGAAGUACCACAUAGUAAAUGCAUGAUUAAUCAUCCUUAAAUGGAUUAGAGAAUUCGGGUUCUGAGGAAGUGGGCAGGGCAGGGCCUGAGUGGCACCAGGCAUCAGAGACCCAGGCCCCACACAGGGUUGCCCAAACCAAGAUGCUCAGUUAAACCUGAAUUUUAGAUAAUUAAUAGAUAAUCUUUUUUUUUUUUUUUGGUACCAGGGAUUGAACUCGGGUCCUUUUGGUUGCAAGACAGGUGGCAGAACCACUGAGAUAGGCCAGGGUGCUGCUGUGGUCUUUCCAGUGCAUUUGCAAGAUGGGGACAUCUCUGAACAUGGGAGCAGAAAGCUCUACCUGCAGCCAUGGAGGCCUGCAAUGAUGGCAAAGGGCAUUAAUGAUGAGCUCCUGCCCCUGACCCCGACCUCAUCAACCACUGCUCCUCUCCCCAGCCGGGUUCUGCAAUCCAGCCAGCUGCAGAGGAGUUUAAAGGGUAGCCGUCCCCAGUCAGCCAGCUGGCCAUUAAUAAUGUUUUCAUCCGUGACAAUGACAAACCUGCAGUACUUGUGGAGAGUUUAUUAAGAAAAGACAGUGAAAUGGAAGUCCCUAUGGUAAUCAAUUCUCAAUUGUGCAGAAGCAUCAACAAAUCAGAAUGGCCCAAUGGUCAGGCUAGUGAGUUCUCUUAAAUGUUCUACCUUCUGUUAGUUCCCACAUCUUGCAAGAUUCAAAUUCAAGCUAGAGAGCCUCAGGGUUGGACACAGAGUAUGAACAGUAUGGAAUUCCCACUCAGAGUCACAGGCAAGAAGGAAGGAAGACUUGGAGCCUCUGGUCUAAGGAUUCGGUUCUGCCAUUCUAUUCAGUUUAGUGAAUGUCUCGAGAGUAUGUCUUCUAAGCCAGGUCCUGGGCCAAGGGCACAGGGUAGGGGGAGGGAAGAGAUACAGUAACAACAAGCUGGCAUGGGACCAAUCGUGAGAUGUACAGUGAUGGCUAUGUCAGUAGUGUAGACCACCACUCCACCAUAAAGACCUCCACAGGGGAAAGGAAUUCCAGGAAGGCUUCACAGAGGAGGUAUCUCAGUGAAAUCGAGGCUUGAAGAACAAGUGGAGAAAUGUCAUAUGGGAAAGGAAAGGACAUGCUGGGUGCUAUGGGCUGAACUGUGUCCCCUUGAAAUUCAAACGCUGAAAUACUAACCUGCAAAUAGUAUCUUAGAAUGAGACUAUUUGGAGACAGUGUAAAGAGGUAAUUAAUUAAAAUGAAGUCACUGAGGUGGGCCUUCAUUCACUCUGACUGAUGUUCUUCUGAGAUGAGGAGAUCUGGGCACAGAGAUCUGAAUCACCUUUGUACAGGGAGAAGCCAAAGAGAGAGGCCUCAGAUGAAAUCAGCCUUGAGAACUUGAUCUCAAACUUCCAGCAUCUAGAAUGGUGAGAAAACAAAUACCUGCUGUUUGAGGGUGCCCAGCCUAUGGCUCUUUGUUAGUGAUAGUGAAAAAAAUAUACCAGGGACGCAAAGAGCUCCAACCAAGUUCUGGAAGUGACUGUGACUGAGUACUCAGAGAACUGUGUUGCUCUGAGGAGUUGGAGAAGCCUGAAGGAGACAGAAUCUGCUUGCCAGAGGCAUCUGGACCCCAGAGUUCUUGGCCCCUUCCAUUUACAAAUUUUUCUUUUCUUUCUUUUUUUUUUUUUGUACCUGGGAUCGAACUCGGGUCAUUGCGCUUGCGAGGCAGGCAGUGAAACCACUGAGCUAAAUCCUCAGCCCCCUUGGCCCCUUCCAGAUGGAUGCUUUCAUGGGCACCCCGUGGCAAGCUUUCCCCUUUCUGCUUCCACCUUCCCGGAGGAAGCUGGACACGCACUCUUUGCUUUGCUUCGGUGCAAACUCACAAGCAGAUCCCAGCUCAGAAUGCCAUUCUCCUUUCCUGGGUCUCCCCAGUCAGAACCAUUUAUACUCUAUUUACUUGAUGGAGUAAUGUCAACAGAUACUCUAAUGACUAGGGUUGCAUGUCUCCUCCAACAGUCUUGCUUCCUGGCCUUUCACACCUAAGACCCUCCCAGGUCUCUCUCAGUGGAUGACUACUGGGGGAAACUGAACUAAGCUCAAAGCCAAAGCCCAACUAGAAGAUGUUUUAGAAACAGUAAAGCCUCUGUGCUGUGGGAGUGUGUGAUAGGCUGAUUAAUGGCUCUUAAGCAUGUAAGGUCCUGAUCCCUGGAACCUGUAAAAUCUCCUUAUAUGGAAAAGGGUCUUUACUGAUGUGAUCUUGAGAUGGAGGGGUCACUUGGAUUAUCCUAGUGGGCUUGAAUGCAGUUACAUGCAUCCUUAUAAGCAGAGGGCAGAGAGAAUUUGACACACAUAGAGAUGCUGAUGUGAAGACGGAGUCAAGAUGGAGCAGCAGAUGCUGGUCCUGAAGACAAGAAUGAUACAACCACAAGCUAAGGAAAGCCAGCAGAAGCCAGAAAAGGCAAGGAAAGUAUAUUUCCUUAGCGUCUCUGAGAAAACAAGGCCUUCCUCACAUCCUGAUUCAGCCCUCGACUGACUUCAAAUCUUUGACCUCUGGAACUAUGAAAGAAUAAAUUCUUGUUUUAAGAUAUCAAGUUCCUGGUAAUCUGCUACAGAAGCCACUGGAAAUUCAUAUAGAGGUAGGUCAGGACCCUCCAUUAGGCCCCAACACCUGCUAGGUCUAGCCCUAUACAGUAUUAGCUUUUUGUUACUCUAAGGAAAUAUCUGAGAUAAUCAAUUUAAGGAGAGAGAAAGGUUUAACUUUGAAUCAUAGAGGUUUCUGUCAAUGGUUGGUUGGUCCUGCUCCUUUGGGGCCUGUAGCAAGACAGCACUUUACCUUAUGGCCAGGAAUGAAGAGGAAGAGGAGGCACUGGGGUCCCGCUCUCCCCUUCAGAGACUUGCCUCCAAUGGCCAGAAGAUUCCCAACAGCUCCAAGCUGGAGAUCAUGCCUUUCACAUGUGUGCCUUUGGAGGACAUUUCAGAUCCAAACUAGAGCAAUCUCUCUCUCUCUCUCUCUCUCUCUCUCUCUCUCUCUCUCUCUCUCUUCCUUAGUUUCCUGCCCUGUGCACUUGUGCAAUGGGAACAAUAGCCAACCUCAUCCUGUGCACUCUGCAGCUCUUUUUUCCAAAGCUCAGAGAAGGCCUGGUAUAUGCUGAUAUGCAUCGGGGUCAAGGGCACCCACAGGAUCAGGCUUGGGAGCUCCAGCAGCUGCCCCACAGGCAGCAGAACAUCACAACCUUGAGUCGACCUUGUUAUCUGAGAGCCCGAGGAGCCCCCACUGCCAUGUUCACUACAUAUUCUCACUUAUUGUGCCCAAUUGGAUGAUAAAUGCAGAGGCUGCAGGGACACUGGGCUGAAAAGGUCCUGCCAACUGAGAGAUGUAGCUCAGGCACCAUAAAUAAUUUCCUUCUUACUGGGGAUUUAGCUCAGUGGUGUCACCGCCUGCCUCGAAAGCUCAAGGUCCAGAGUUCAAUCCCCGGUACCAAAAAACAAAAACAAAAACAAAACAAAAAAAAUAAUUUCCCUCCCAAAGGCCUGGCUUUCUUGAAUGCGGAGAUCCUGGAGGGCUCUGCUGCCUGCCUCACAACUGACAGUGCUCAACAGGAAACCAGAAGUGGGGGAGAGAGGUCAUGCACUCCUGGUGUGCUAGCCCUCCUGGGGUUUGGGGGCAGGGCUUGGGUCCAGAGGGCCUCCAGGCAGGGCCUUGCUCCAGGGAGCAGGCUGCUCAGGAGCUGCUUACCUCCGGUCAGGGAGCAGUUCUAGGAGCUGCUCACCUGUAUGGCCCAGCAGUGCCCGCCCUUGAGGUCCUCUCCUGGGUCACUGUCACCCCCCUCCACCUUAAUCCCACUAACUUUCUGAGUCAUCCUCUAUCACUGCCAUCCUCACUUUUUGCACUGCACUUUUCACAGCCUGAAAUCACUCACUUUGUCCUUAUUUGUUGUAUGUGAUGGACAGAGGAGGCUGAGUCUUCACUGCUGUCUCUGUCAUAGAGAUCUCACUCAGAAAAUACUGAACGAGUGAAUGAAUGAGAGUGGGCCCAAGAGCCAGAAAGAUUUUCCACAGACUGCAGAGGGGUGCUCAGAAUCAGUAUAGUAAAACCUCAGUGGGAAACUGGGGCCUCUCUCCGAGCACACAAAUGUGCCUGUCCUCCCGAGUUGGCAUCACUGCAUGGGUGUCCGGGACUCUAGAGAAGAUUCCAAAACCUUCAUGAAGCCUCUGAGGGGACUGAGGAGUGAGGAAGGUCCCUACCAUCAGAGAGAGCUCUGAUCCUGGCCCAAAGCCCAUGGCAGGAGACCCUCAGCCACCCUCUAAAGGAUACCCAGGUUAUGAUGGUGGCUGUAUCUGGGGUCAGACAGGCACCAGAGGGUGGCAGUGGGAGAGAUGAACAGGGGAUCUCGUGUGAAUUUCACUGAUUAGUCACAGCAUUCUAAUUAAAGGCCACAAAGCAAGGCCUCAGGCUUCUUUCAAAGAACGGGGGCCAUAUUCAUCUCACAGCCCUGUCGUCACUAGUGAUGCCCAGCCAUCUGAGGGCUGGAGAUUGAGUCCAAAGCUUACCACGCUUCCCUUACUCUUUUGGAGCUGGGACUCAUCAUGGGCUGCACCCAUCUUAAGGGGACCCCUUCAUUUCUUCUCUGCAUCCAGUUUCCUUGGUGACAUUUUAAUCAGUUUGAACUGGAAAGAAGUCUUCCUCUCGUCACCCUCUGAAAAUAUUUAAUUGUUAAACUUCCUUUUAAAAAAAAUUUUGCUGCUUAAUGUUUCAGUAUUUCUAAACAAACCAAUUUUACAGACAUUGCGUCCUUAAUGGGACCUAAUUAUGGGAGUGUUCCAGCAAAGAUGCAGGGGCUGCGGGGGUCAUUCAGGAAGUUGCACGUUCCCCAGGAGGAGGGGCUGCAGGAGGAGCUUGGAGGAUUCUUACAUCAUUACACACCAUAAUUACACGUACUUUUACUAGGGGCUGUGAAAAUGCUUUCUUACAAAUAAUUAAAUUCAGCACAACCAGAACUGCAUUGAGAAGAUACAAACCUUUCAGAAAAGCAACAAAAUCAGCACCUGUGGAUUAAAUCUUUACAGUCACCUUCAUUAGGCCUCAAUCCAUCCCCUCUAUUCACUCUCUCCUGAGAGGGAGCAGAAGAAUUCCCCUACAGUGACAAUGGCUUCAGUCAGAAAACCUACAUCUGAGCCUCAGAUCUGCUAUAUAUCCUGCGGUUGGAAUUUGGUGUGAGUUAUUUCCCCCGAGCUUUAGUUUUCUUAUCUGUAAAAUGCGGAUCAGAGGAACAUAAGGCUUGGCAGAGCUAGGAGGAUCAAAUGAGAUGAUGGAUGGAAGCAUGCUUUACAAACUAUGAAAGGCCAGAUACACUACUCAGAGAUUUAGCCUCUCUUGGAGAAUGUACUGGAGGAGCCAGAGGCCCAGAUGCCCAGGCCAGUUGCCUGCCAGACAAACUGGAACCCUCCACCGAGGGUGUUCUGUCUGCCCAUUGCCGAACAAACCUAACACUUCUCUUACAUUUCAGGGCCCACCGUGCUCUCAGAGACCCAUGGUCAACUGUCCCAGUAUUUCUAUUUUCACUCUCCUUUCUAGUGACUGGAGACCUGUAAGAUGGGUAUUUCAGAAAGCCCAAUGUCUGGGUCUCUGGGCCACCAGCUACACCAUCAAGCCUCUGACUUAAAAGUAAAAUUAGAUCAUAUGAUGGGUGACUCGUUGAAAUUAACCUGUAAUGUUUUUGGUGAAAUCUUUUAUUGAAUAAUCAUAUAAUAACCCUUCACUACAUAUUUCUUGAAUAAAAUGAUUGAUUAGAGGUAUUUUAAAAAAAUAAUUUGGGAGUAUAAAUAGAGAUUUUGUUGGAACAUUUUAAACUUAAUUCUGUGAAUGUCCUCUCCUUCCUUAAACUGGAACCUGACCCCUGUUGGAGCAAGAAAGCAGGAUCGUGAUAUCCAAGCUGCGUAUGAUUAGAGUGCCCAAGUGGAUACUGUGCUAGUCUCCAUGUGCCAUUCUCAGCCCAGGAAGACUUGCUUGUGGUCUCAGACAUGGCAGAGUCAUUGAGGUUUAAGUGUAUGUGUACAUGUGGACAAGAUCAUUGUCUUUGGUGGGGCGUGCAGAAAAGGUUAUGAUCAUCUUUGCCCUCAGUGGGUGCUCCACUCCACUCCCUGGAGUCAUUCAGAGCUGUGGUCAUCUGGCCACUACUGGCAGAUUCUACCCAUGUCCCAUUACCUGCCUCCUACAAUGCCUGUGGCUUGUUUGUUAUUGGCGUGAAUAACGAUAACUCUCCAUUGGGAUACAACAUGACUUACUGAGACCCCUCUAGAAGCCAUUAAAUGGACCCAGGGACCUAUAAAGACAAUGAAGGAAUGCAGACCAUGGUCCAGUUGGUACUUUGGGGAGCCAGUCACUUUGCAGAAAUGCCAUUGUCGCAGUGUGAACAGAGCCCACUGAAAGAAAUCGAGAAACUGAAAACAAUAAGUGGCGUCUUCCAACUGAAGGAGAAGAGCUGGGACAGACAGAGCAGGCUGCGGUGGGGUUCUGCUGAUGGGCUUCCUGUGUGGCUGUGUCGCCGGGCCAGUGGGUGCCACAGCCAGACCUCCUUGCUCCACUGCAGGCCCUACUGAAAGAUCUAUCUAGUUCCUGCUUUUCUCAAGACAAAAGCUCAUUGGCAACUGGAAAUGAUUUUGUAGUCAGUCAUUGCUGACAUUUAAAGGGUUUUGCUGCUGAAGUCAUUUGGCACAAUGGCAAAGGACCCUGGUCCUUGGGACGGUACUGGUGCCACCUUCUAGCUGGAGGAAAUUGGGAGCCUCGCUGGCCUCUUUGAGCCUCAGUGUCCUUGUCUCUAAAAUGGGAAUAACAAUAACUGCAAGAGUAAUCAUGUCAUAAGGUCAUCGUAAGACUGAAUGGAAUCAUCCACAAAAAUUACCCCGCAAAUGCUAAGUGUUCAAGAUAUUUUGCUAUCUCUGUUCUGAAGAACAUUACAG